UACGUAGGGUCCAAGCGUUAAUCGGAAUUACUGGGCGUAAAGCGUGCGCAGGCGGUUGUGUAAGUCAGAUGUGAAAUCCCCGGGCUCAACCUGGGAAUUGCAUUUGAGACUGCACGGCUAGAGUGUGUCAGAGGGGGGUAGAAUUCCACGUGUAGCAGUGAAAUGCGUAGAGAUGUGGAGGAAUACCGAUGGCGAAGGCAGCCCCCUGGGAUGAUACUGACGCUCAUGCACGAAAGCGUGGGGAGCAAACAGG
rnacentral:rRNA from 1 species